rnacentral:lncRNA from 1 species
UUUUUUAGAGAGAAAACAUUCAUGUUUCUGCCUUGCUUUGAUUUCAAAUGGAGCCCUUUUUUCUUUCUCUUUAGACCCCAGCAUUGCGGUCUUUCUGCCUGAAACAACUUUCUACACAUUGAAUCCCUCUCUGCUAGAGGGUAAUGAUGGGAUGAUAUGGUCCCACAAUAGGCUGUCUGCAAGUUGAGGAGCAAGGAGAGACCGUCCAAAUCCCAAAACUGAAGAACUUGGAGUCCAGUGUUUGAGGGCAGCAAACAUCCAGCAGGAGAGAAAGAGGAGCAAAGAGGUUAAUAAGCAAGAAGGGGCAAGAAGGAAGGGAGAAGAAAGAAGCUCCCCUGUACAGAGAUGGAGGUGAACUCCAAAGCAAAGAGAGGGAACCCCACCUGCCACAGAUACCAACUAGGUAUAAGUACAGAGGCUGGAUGGGGCAGUGUCUGAUUUGGAUAGGGCUCAGGGGAUUGGUUUGACUAGGCACAUCAUUCCCAUAGCCUGCAAAAAAGCUGGCCCUCCCACCCUAGCCUUUUAAUAUGCAAAUGCAGGG